rnacentral:snRNA from 1 species
GUACUCGCUUCGGCAGUACAUAUACUAAAAUUGGAACGAUACAGAGAAGAUUAGCAUGGCCCUGCGCAAAGAUGCUGUAAAAGCUUAUAAAGACUUUAGAGAAAAUU